UACGUAGGGGGGCAAGCGUUUGUCCGGAUUUAUUGGGCGUAAAGAGCGUGUAGGCGGCCUUACAGGUCAGCUGUGAAAACUCGAGGCUCAACCUCGAGACGUCGGUUGAAACCGUAAGGCUAGAGUCCGGAAGAGGAGAGUGGAAUUCCCGGUGUAGCGGUGAAAUGCGCAGAUAUCGGGGAAGAACACCCGUGGCGAAGGCGGCUCUCUGGGACGGUACUGACGCUGAGACGCGAAAGCGUGGGGAGCGAACAGG
rnacentral:rRNA from 1 species